rnacentral:lncRNA from 1 species
AAAAAACAACUCAAAAAACUCCCGAAUAGCACCUGUCACCUUAGAAUAUCAAUACGAAUAAAAAAUCAAAAAUUCACAUUUUCUCGUGACUGCCAAAAAAUAUCAAAAUAUUUCAUUGGUCAACGUCCAAAAGUAUAAAAAUCUAGAAAAAGACAUCAAAACACCUCAAAAAAUUCCCGAAUUGCACCAAUCACCUUAGAAUAUCGAUACGAAUAAAAUCACAUUUUCCUGUGACUGCCCCAAAAAUAUCAAUAUUUUUAAUUUGUACUCCCUCCGUCC